UGACCUGAUGGGCAGCUUCCGGGAAACCAAAGUUUUUGGGUUCCGGGGGAAGUAUGGUUGCAAAGCUGGAACUUAAAGGAAUUGACGGAAGGGCACCACCAGGAGUGGAGCCUGUGGCUUAAUUUGACUCAACGCGGGGAAGCUCACGAGGCCCGGACACUGGAAGGAUUGACAGAUUGAGAGCUCUUUCUUGAUUCGGUGGGUGGUGGUGCAUGGCCGUUCUUAGUUGGUGGAGUGAUUUGUCUGGUUAAUUCCGAUAACGAACGAGACUCUGGCUUACUAAAUAGGCGGCGGAUCUUUGUAUCCGCUAUGUCUUCUUAGAGGGAUAAGGCAGCUCUAAGCUGCAUGAGAAGGGGCAAUAACAGGUCUGUGAUGCCCUUAGAUGUUCUCGGCCGCACACGCGCUACACUGAAAGAGGCAACGUGUUUGCCUGAUUCGAAAGAAUUGGGUAACCCCCUAAUCUCUUUCGUGCUGGGGAUUGAGGUUUGCAAUUAUCCUUCAUGAACGAGGAAUUCCCAGUAAGUGCGAGUCAUUAUCUCGCGCUGACUACGUCCCUGCCCUUUGUACACACCGCCCGUCGCUACUACCGAUUGAAUGAUUUAGUGAGGACUUCGGACUGAGUCCAAUGCGGCUUUCGGG
rnacentral:rRNA from 1 species